rnacentral:rRNA from 1 species
CAGGCGUUAUCCGGAUUUAUUGGGUUUAAAGGGAGCGUAGGCCGUUUUUUAAGCGUGUUGUGAAAUGUACCGGCUCAACCGGUGAUGUGCAGCGCGAACUGGAAGACUUGAGUGCGUAGUAAGCAGGCGGAAUUCGUGGUGUAGCGGUGAAAUGCUUAGAUAUCACGAAGAACUCCGAUUGCGAAGGCAGCUUACGAGAGCACAACUGACGCUUAAGCUCGAAGGUGCGGGUAUCGAACAGGAUUAGAUACCCUGGUAGUCCGCACAGUAAACGAUGGAUGCCCGCUGUUAGCGCCUGGCGUUAGCGGCUAAGCGAAAGCAUUAAGCAUCCCACCUGGGGAGUACGCCGGCAACGGUGAAACUCAAAGGAAUUGACGGGGGCCCGCACAAGCGGAGGAACAUGUGGUUUAAUUCGAUGAUACGCGAGGAACCUUACCCGGGAUUGAAAUGUAGAUGACGGCCGGUGAAAGUCGGCUUCCCUUCGGGGCAUCUAUGUAGGUGCUGCAUGGUUGUCGUCAGCUCGUGCCGUGAGGUGUCGGCUUAAGUGCCAUAACGAGCGCAACCCCUUUUCUUAGUUGCCAUCAGGUAAUGCUGGGCACUCUGGGAACACUGCCACCGCAAGGUGUGAGGAAGGUGGGGAUGACGUCAAAUCAGCACGGCCCUUACGUCCGGGGCUACACACGUGUUACAAUGGGAGGUACAGAAGGUCGCUACCUAGUGAUAGGAUGCUAAUCUUAAAAACCUCUCUCAGUUCGGAUUGGAGUCUGCAACCCGACUCCAUGAAGCUGGAUUCGCUAGUAAUCGCGCAUCAGCCAUGGCGCGGUGAAUACGUUCCCGGGCCUUGUACACACCGCCCGUCAAGCCAUGGAAGCUGGGAGUACCUGAAGACGGUUACCUAAAGGAGCUGUUUAGGGUAAAACUAGUGACUGGGGCUAAGUCGUAACAAGGUAGCCGUACCGGAAGGUGCGGCUG